ACCGGGAGAGUGGCCAUGGAUUACAUUCAUUGUAGUAACACUAAAAUAUGAUAGUUGGCUUUGUUUUAAUGAUUGCUAUAGAAGUAUAUCGGGAACAGGAGUUAUACUAAAUAAACAAUGGAUUAUUACUGCCGCACAUGUACUAUUUAUGACCCAAAAUGAGUAUAAAGAUUACAAACUCCAUAGUAUUGUUGUCUAUCCGGGAAUCAAUGAUAAACGGGUUUUAGGAAAAUCAUAUGAAUCGGACAAA